UGGCGGAAGCCCGGAGGACCAGGAACUAACAAAGAAAAUGGGGGUGGAAUGGAGCCCCGAGCGACAAGCUUACAUCAUGGAUGGACAGAGGACUCCCCUACCAAGAAGGAGACCGCUAACGUGGUAACCAAAAAACUCCUGGAUGACAUCUUUCCCAGCCCUACCUUGGAGGCGCACCUCCAAGCCCUCCAAUUGGUGCAAAAGACGGUGUGGAAACCCCUGCCUACCGGGAGCAACUGAACCGCCCGGUGGUGCCUCACCCAUUCAAGAUUGGGGACUCUGUCUGGGUCCAACGCCAUCAAUCCAGGAACCUAGAGCCGAGGUUGACGGGAUAGCGGCUUGGGUCCACGCAUCGCAUGUGAAGGCUGCCAAGGAACCCGACGAAGCUGAGGGCACCGAGACAUCUAGUUCAAC